UACGUAGGGCGCGAGCGUUGUCCGGAAUUAUUGGGCGUAAAGGGCUCGUAGGCGGUUUGUCGCGUCGGGAGUGAAAACCUACAGCUUAACUGUGGGCUUGCUUUCGAUACGGGCAGACUAGAGGUAUGCAGGGGAGAACGGAAUUCCUGGUGUAGCGGUGAAAUGCGCAGAUAUCAGGAGGAACACCGGUGGCGAAGGCGGUUCUCUGGGCAUGAUCUGACGCUGAGGAGCGAAAGUGUGGGGAGCGAACAGG
rnacentral:rRNA from 1 species